rnacentral:rRNA from 1 species
AGAAUCAACGCUGGCGGCGCGCUUAACACAUGCAAGUCGAGCGAGAAAGUGGAGCAAUCCAUGAGUAAAGCGGCGUACGGGUGAGUAACACGUGGAUCAUCUACCUCUUUGUGGGGGAUAACUUUGGGAAACCGAAGCUAAUACCGCAUAAGCCUGUAAAGGGAAAGCAGCAAUGCGCUGAGAGAGGAGUCCGCGGCCGAUUAGCUAGUUGGUGAGGUAACGGCCCACCAAGGCGAUGAUCGGUAGCCGGCCUGAGAGGGCACACGGCCACACUGGCACUGAAACACGGGCCAGACUCCUACGGAGGCAGCAGUGGGGAAUCUUGCACAAUGGGGGCAACCCUGAUGCAGCGACGCCGCGUGAACGAUGAAGCCCCUCGGGGUGUAAAGUUCUUUCGGCAGGGACGAUAAUGACGGUACCUGAAGAAGAAGCUGCGGCUAACUACGUGCCAGCAGCCGCGGUAA